AACUCUAAGCGGUGGAUCACUCGGCUCGUGUGUCGAUGAAGAGCGCAGCCAGCUGCGUGAACUAAUGUGAAUUGCAGGACACAUUGAACAUCGAUAUCUUGAACGCAUAUUGCGRCSUCGGGCAUUMMCGAGGCCACGCMUGUCUCAGGGUCGGUUGAACGUCAAUCGCGAG
rnacentral:rRNA from 1 species